rnacentral:rRNA from 1 species
AGAGUUUGAUCCUGGCUCAGGAUGAACGCUAGCGGCAGGCUUAACACAUGCAAGUCGCGGGGCAGCGGGGAGUAGCAAUACUCUGCCGGCGACCGGCGGAAGGGUGCGUAACACGUGAGCAACUUGCCCGUAUCAGGGGGAUAACCGAUGGAAACGUCGACUAAUACCCCAUAACAACGUAUGUUGCAUGACAUAUGUUUGAAAGCUCCGGCGGAUACGGAUAGGCUCGCGGGACAUUAGCUAGUUGGAGUGGUAACGGCACACCAAGGCGACGAUGUCUAGGGGUUCUGAGAGGAAGGUCCCCCACAUUGGAACUGAGACACGGUCCAAACUCCUACGGGAGGCAGCAGUGAGGAAUAUUGGUCAAUGGGCGGAAGCCUGAACCAGCCAUGCCGCGUGAAGGAAUAAGGCCCUAUGGGUCGUAAACUUCUUUUGUAUCGGAGCAAUAAGGGUCACGUGUGACCCGAUGAGAUUACGAUACGAAUAAGCAUCGGCUAACUCCGUGCCAGCAGCCGCGGUAAUACGGAGGAUGCAAGCGUUAUCCGGAUUUAUUGGGUUUAAAGGGUGCGUAGGCUGUUCUGCAAGUCAGCGGUGAAAGCCCGGGGCUCAACCCCGGAAAUGCCGUUGAUACUGCGGGGCUGGAAUACGGAUGCCGUGGGAGGAAUGAGUAGUGUAGCGGUGAAAUGCAUAGAUAUUACUCAGAACACCGAUUGCGAAGGCAUCUCACGAAUCCGUUAUUGACGCUGAGGCACGAAAGCGUGGGGAUCAAACAGGAUUAGAUACCCUGGUAGUCCACGCAGUAAACGAUGAUAACUAACCGUCGGCGAUACACAGUCGGUGGCCAAGCGAAAGCGAUAAGUUAUCCACCUGGGGAGUACGUUCGCAAGAAUGAAACUCAAAGGAAUUGACGGGGGCCCGCACAAGCGGAGGAACAUGUG